rnacentral:rRNA from 1 species
GACAGAGGGUGCAAACGUUGUUCGGAAUUACUGGGCGUAAAGCGCGUGUAGGCGGCCCUGCAAGUCGGAUGUGAAAUCCCACGGCUCAACCGUGGAAGUGCAUUCGAAACUGCAGGGCUAGAGUCCUGGAGAGGAAGGUGGAAUGCUUGGUGUAGAGGUGAAAUUCGUAGAUAUCAAGCGGAACACCGGUGGCGAAGGCGGCCUUCUGGACAGUGACUGGACGCUGAGA